GUUUUAAACAUGGCGAUUAACCCAACUUGAACAAAGGAACAAAGAGUAACACAUUUAAACUACUAGUGUAACCUGAAAUCAAUUGUGUUACCUACUAUGAACGAAAAUAAUAAAAACAAGCUUAUUGUGAAGAAAAAAACGAAUAAUUUCUAACAGCCCACUGGUUAAUUGAGCUAUGAACAAGAAUACCUAACAACCUAUUGUGAACAGUGAAUAUUUUCUAACAACUCAGUGUGAAAUUGGAGUUAUUAUUAACAACAGACAACCGAACAAAAGAAGUGAGCAUAAAGAAACUAAAGCAAUUUUGCUGAUUGAAACUUACGUACUUACCGCUUAGUGUGAGAAAACAAAUCCAUUCCCAGUGACUUCGGAAACAACAAUCAAAUGAGACCAAGUAAUGGAAAACAUGGAAUAGAUCGACAACCGAGAAAAGGACCAAUGGUUAAGGAAUAAACCGAUGUGUGACAAAGGGACCAAUGAAGGAAGGAUGGAC